GGUUGGUCCAAGUGCAGUGGUGCUUACAACUAAUGAUCACAACCAGUUACAGAUUCCUUUGUUCCUUCUCCACUCCCACUGCUUCCUUGACUAGAGAAUA
ensembl:misc_RNA Y_RNA Y RNA